rnacentral:rRNA from 1 species
AGCAGUUCGAAAGGACUAUUAAUACUCCAUAGGUUUAUAAACUAAAUCAAAGAGGCUCCCUCGGGGGCCUCGCGUGAAAAUAGGAAUAUGUCCUAUUAGGUAGUUGGCGGGGUAAAGGCCCACCAAGCCAGUGAUGGGUAGCUGGACUGAGAGGUUGAACAGCCGCAAUGGGAUUGAGAUAUGGCCCAUAUUCCUACGGGAAGCAGCAGUGAGGAAUUUUUCACAAUGGACGAAAGUCUGAUGGAGCAAUACCACGUGAACGAUGAAGGUCUUCUGAUUGUAAAGUUCUUUUAUUUAGGAAAAAAAGCGCGCUAGGAAAUGAGCGCGCCUUGAUGGUACUAAUUGAAUAAGUGACAGCUAACUAUGUGCCAGCAGCUGCGGUAAAACAUAGGUCACGAGCAUUAUCCGGAUUUAUUGGGCGUAAAGGAAGCGUAGGUGGGGAGGUUGAUCCAUUGUUAAAGGCAUUUGCUUAACAAAUGUGUGCGAUGGAGAUCGCCUCC